UGAGCCGCUUGGGUUUCCCACCAUGGCCUGGGCGACACUCCUCCUCGUGCCAGUACUAUACUUUUCAGGUUCACUUGCCCAGUACGUGAUGACACAGUCGCCCUCAGUGUCUGUCUCUCCAGGGGAAACUGCUAAACUCAUCUGCACGGGAAGAAAUAUUGACAGCAACUAUGUGCAGUGGUAUCAACAGAAAUCUGGCAGUGCCCCUGUGCUGAUUAUAUACGAAAACAGCAAAAGACCCUCUGGCAUCGCUGACCGGUUCUCUGGCUCCAAAUCAGGGAGCACGGCCACAUUGACCAUCACUGGAGCCCAAGCCCAGGAUGAGGCUGAUUAUUACUGCCAGGCUUAUGAUGAUGACAGCAGCUCUCCUCACAGUGACACAGGGGAAUGUGGAUGGGAGACAGAAACCUCUUGUUGA